GUGAAUCAUCGAAUCUUUGAACGCAUAUUGCACUCUCUGGUAUUCCGGAGAGUAUGCCCGUUUCAGUAUCAGUAAACACCAUCAAACACCCUCCGGGAGUUGUUUGGAUUUGAGUGUUGCCGAGAAAACUUACCCUUUUUGCGGCCCGCUCGAAAUGCAAGUACACAGGACAGGAAUCCCAGACCCACCCGAGGUGUGAAACAAAAAAAGCGUCGUAGUUGACUUGAUUGUCUUCUUUCGCUGAAAAAGAACGCCACGGUUUUUGGGACCUUUGACUGUGCAAAUUUCGCUAGGAAGAUAAGGAAUAUUCUUUAUCACUUCUUGAUCUGAAAUCAGGUAGGUACUACCCGCUGAAACUUAAGCAUAUCAAUAAGCGAGG
rnacentral:rRNA from 1 species